rnacentral:misc_RNA from 1 species
GUGAAUCAUCGAAUUUUUGAACGCAAAUUGCGCUUCCUAGCAUCCCGGGAAGUAUGCCUGUUUGAGGGUCAGUAUUAACAAAAAAAUCGGUUUGGUUGCAAAUUGUGACGUUUCCGGAGUUUGGGCUAUCUUAACUUUUUUGGUUAAGGGGCUUAAAAUUGACCUUUUUGCGCAUUUUUAACGGAACUUAAUUUUUUUUUUUUUUGGUUUUUUUUUAUUCCAAAAUUUUUUUUGAUGCCAUCA